UAUAAUAUAGUUAGGAAAAAAUCCCAUUAGGUUAAUAGGUUACAAAAUAGCCCAAAAUGUACAGCAGCUGAUUCUACGGAUUCUCAUUUAUCCACAUUAAAAGGAAAGGCAUCAGUCCGACGACAAGAGAGGCCUAAGCCGAAUCAUCAAUAUUAAUUUAGGUAACUAUCUAUGACUGGAUGAACGAUGACUAUGUCUUAAUUGAUAGGUAGAACCUAAAAUAACUUAGACAAAGUAUUUUGAGCUAAACUGGGCUGAAAGAGUGCGAGCCAACAGAGAUUGAUCUAAACCCGCUUAUUUCUUCAACUAGAAAAUAAAUUAAAGAACCAAAAUAAUUAACGUUGUAAAAAUUGGCCAAAUGGUUACACGUAACUACUUAAGUUGUUGAGUUUGACAGAUAGGAUUAUGACCUGCUACUCAACUCAUAUACAUUGGACUGGAUAAAUCAUGUACACCAUUAAACCAUUAUCCAUAUGGUGAUAGCAAACGCAUAAAACUUGUGAAGUAGCUUUGGUUCCGUAGGGCUUAUAGGGGCAUGAUGAAAAAGGAUAUUUUGUUUGAAGAACAAGCUAAGUAUGGUGGAAAAGUUAUGGGAGGACAGCACAAGAUGUCCAUAUAAUACAGAAGAAUAAGCUGAUCCCUUCUUUGAGAUUUAAUUCUCAUACAUGGGAUUUUGUGGAUAUAUUUGGAUUAGGUUAAUGGGGUCCACAUUGGAUAAAAUGUCUUCGCCCGUGGUUUUGGAACUGCUGGUUCGCCCACGCCGAGGUUUCUUAUUCUUCUGUACUCUCUUUCCCUUCCUCUGGAGUAAGGCUUUAUCCGAUUUCGAUUUUGGAUUUAUUUGGGUUUGUGGUUUCGGUUCUGGCAGUUCCGAUUCUGGUGGUUUCAGUUCCGCAGUUGUGGCGGUUCCGGUUCUGGCGGUUUCGGAGCCGGAACCGCUACCAUACGGUUCCGGAACCGUCCGAUUCCGGUUCUGGCAGUUCCGGAACCGCGGUUCUGGCGGUUCUGAUUUUUUUUUUUAAAAUCAAUAUCUUGUAUAUUAGUCAUUAGUAUAUUGUAGAAU
rnacentral:lncRNA from 1 species